UCAAAAUAUAUUUUGUACUGUUCAUGUCCAAUGUUUGACCGUUCAUUUUAUUUGAAGUUUUUUUAUAAUUAGUAUUUUUAUGUCUGACUAAUUAGAUGAUAAAACAUGAAUAUUACUUUAUGUCUGACUAAUUUUUUUCAUAUAUUUUUCAAAUAUGAUGGACGAUCAAACGUUGAACACGAAUACCUACGGCUACACCUAUU
rfam:Oryza glaberrima chromosome 8 Oglab08_0038_45, whole genome shotgun sequence.